rfam:Ignavibacteria bacterium GWC2_36_12 gwc2_scaffold_2312, whole genome shotgun sequence.
AGCUCAAUUCGGGCAAUUGCCCCGCCUCUGGCGGGGAGGAAAGUCCGAACUUCGCAGAACAGGGUGCCGGGUAACACCCGGGCGUUAAGGGAACAAUCCCUUACACGACGGAAAGUGCCACAGAAAAUAUACCGCCCCACCUUGGCGGGGUAAGGAUGAAACGGCAGGGUAAGAGCCUACCGCAGUAAUGGUAACAUUAUUGGCAUGGUAAACCCCACCCGAAGCAAGGUCAAAUAAGGGAAUCUAUUUCUCUUAACAAAGAAAGAAAAGUAGUUCUGCUUUUGAAUGGUUCCCGGGUAGACCGCUAAAGCCUUGUAGUAAUACAAGGAUCAGAUAAAUAAUUGCCGUCCCGCCUUGGGUGGGAUACAAAAUUCGGCUUAUAGAAUUGAGCUAUGC